AUUCACGCUGGCGGCGUGCAUCACACAUGCCAGUCGCACGAUGAAACUUAAAUGAUUUCUUCGGAAUGAACUUAAGUGGAUUAGUGGCGGACGGGUGAGUAACGCGUGAGUAACCUGCCUUACACAAGGGGAUAGCCGUUGGAAACGACGAAUAAUACCCUAUGAAACUAUCACUUCGCAUGAAGCGAUAGUCAAAGUGUUAGCGGUGUAAGAUGGACUUGCGUCUGAUUAGCUAGUUGGUGAGAAAAAAGCCCACCAAGGCAACGAUCAGUAGCCGGCUUGAGAGAGUGUACGGCCACAUUGGGACUGAGACACGGCCCAGACUCCUACGGGAGGCAGCAGUGGGGAAUUUUGCACAAUGGGGGAAACCCUGAUGCAGCGACGCCGCGUGAUUUAGAAGGCCUUCGGGUUGUAAAAAUCUUUUGUAUAGGAAGAAAAUGACAGUACUAUACGAAUAAGGUCCGGCUAAUUACGUG
rnacentral:rRNA from 1 species